AAGUCAUGUUGUGAGAAAUGUCAUAACAAUCCCUUGUAACGCUCCCAAGCUUCGUAUAGUGACUCCUUUUAUAACUGAUGAAUAUUAUGUAUAUUUCUUUUAAGUUU